UUGCAAAAAGAAUUUAAGGCUUAAAAUAAAUCGGAGAAAAUGAAAAUAAAUUCGUGAAAUUGCAGGAUCGGGUCACUCGUAUGCUAUUAUAGUGGUCUACGGCCACACUUUAUCGAUAUUUACAGAGUGCUAUUUCUACUAUAUCACCGUUUGCAUGUUUCCGUUUCCGUUUAAAAAAGUACGGGGAAUAAUAACUCGCAAUUUUUAGCUAUUUGCGAGUGUUUCCAGUGAAUUAAAAUGAGUAGGAAAAAUAAACAUGUUUACUCAAGUAAGUGGGAGACAAUAGACGAAUAUAAACAGUGGCUGAAGCCCUAUAGAGCAGACAGAACGAAGUGUAUUUGUACCUCGUGUGACAAAAUUUUGAGGUGUGAAGGACUUGUCAGCUGACUAGGUUGUUGGGGAACUGCCACUGGUAUGUGGUGAGGAGGUCGGCAUGGUUGUGGAUGAGACCCAGUCACUAGACGAGGCCUUUUCUGCUGACCAGGUGUCAAAUGGGGUUCCCUUGGUGCCAGCCUAUAGGACAUUCUUUGGGGAUGGGAAGAUCUUCAGUUUCAAGAGUUGGCUCUGACUGAGGCAGGACCAGUGGAGGUUGUCACCCAGAUAUAGUUCUUUCCAAGGUUCCAUGUUGACUGCAACAGACUACUAACACAGGUGUUGGAUGCCACAGCUGACACUGCUCUAAAGAGGGAUCUGUAGUUGGGAGAGCUGAUAGUUUGUCAUCAGUUUUGUACAUAUUUUAAUGUUAUGACAUGUUUUAAAAUCUGAAUAAAAUGAAUAAAUACCAUUUUUUAUAUACGUUAUGAUUUAAUUGCGUGCCUAGGCGGCAUAGUGGGAACGAGGGCGGGACGCGCGUUUUUUUUUUUCCAUUGCUGUGGUGGAUUUUUGGAAGGUGUUGAUUUUUGUCGGUUAUUUGUUGGGAGGCAGUUGGUUUUUGUUUGGAGUUGUUGGUUUUUAUAGGUUUUGGAGAUGGUUUGUUUUUGUUCAGAGGUGGGACAUUCGGAUGAUUUCUUUCCAGACAAAGGAAGCUGUGAAUCAGCUGCUGUGAAUUCAGCAAAAAAAUGGGUUAGUUUGUGUUUUUAAGUAUUAUAUAAUUAGACAUGUUUGUAAAUUUUACCAUGUUUUUGUGUUACUGCUUUUUAGGUUGCAUGUUGACUGCAACAGACUACUAACACAGGUUUUGGAUGCCACAGCUGACACUGCUCUAAAGGUAAUAGGCACCUGUUUUACAUACCAUUUAUCCUCUGACAAUUUAAUAAAAACUGGUAUUAUAAUAUAUAAAACAUUGCAGUUUUAAUUUUUUAACAGUGUGAUUUAUGUACAUCUUAAUAUCUAUAAUUCCGGUUGUAGAAGGUGUUUUUAUUGGUUAUUUCAAUAUUCCUCUUUCUUGCUGUUCCCCCAAAAUGUGAAACCUAGGGUAAGUAUUAGCUCACCUGUCACAUCGUCACCUCAACGCAACAGUUGUAUAUCUUAUUAUAAAUUUAUAAUAAGAUACAACUUUGUUGCGUUGAGGUGACGACAUAGUGACAAGGUGAGCUUUUGUGGUCACCGUUUGUCCGAGGUCCUUUGGAUAGGGAACUCUGCAAUUGCAGAGCCAUUCUUAGGUGUCCAUUUCUCUUUCAGCUAGAUAGGGAACUAAAUUGUGUAGAUAGGGAAGAUUUCUCAAGUAUAAUGCAUCUCCUAUGGAAAGGCAUUUGUAGCCUGUAACUCUGCAGCCGGAUAAUGCCUCUCAUAUUGAAAGGCAUUUGAAGCCUCGAGUAUACAGCCGGAUAAUGCCACUCCUAUGGAAAGCAUUCGAAGUAUGUAAGUAUGCAGCUGGAGAAUGCCUCUCCUAUGGAAAACCAUUCGAAGUCUGCUAAAAAAUAAUAUAACUGGUCUUUAGAAUCAAAUGGUUGGUAUCAAGAACAGUAAGUAAUUGCAAGUUGUGAAAGAGGAUCAGGACAUUACAUCGGGCAGGCUCACAUUUUGAGGGACAGUGAAAAUUGUUUAAGCUAAAUCUCUUAAGCUACUGAGUGUUAAAUUCUUUUUCUGAAUGAAAAUUGAGUUAUGUCUUUUGCAACUGGAAUUACAGAGAUAAUGUUUUUAUUGCAAUAUUUUUAUGUUUGUGUCGUACAGAUUUUUUUUCUAUUUUCAGAGGGAUCUGUAGUUGGGAGAGCUGAUAGUUUGUUUUCAGUUUUGUACAUAUUUUAAUGUUAUGACAUGUUUUAAAAUCUGAAUAAAAUGAAUAAAUACCAUUUUUUAUAUACGUUAUGAUUUAAUUGCGUGCGUAGGCGGCAUUGUGGGAACGAGGGCGGGACGCGCGUUUUUUUUUUCCAUUGCUGUGGUGGAUUUUUGGAAGGUGUUGAUUUUUGUAGGUUAUAUGUUCAGAGGCAGUUGGUUUUUGUUUGGACAUGGUUUGUUUUUGUUCAGAGGUUGGACAUUUGGAUGAUUUCUUUUAAAACAAAGGAAGCUGUGAAUUCAGCAAACAAUCAGAUUAGUUUGUGUUUUAAGUAUGAUAUAAUUAGACAUGUUUGUAAAUUUUACCAUGUUUUUGUGUUACUGCUUUUUAGGUUGCAUGUUGACUGCAACAGACUACUAACACAGGUGUUGGAUGCCACAGCUGACACUGCUCUAAAGGUUGCAUGUUGACUGCAACAGACUACUAACACAGGUUUUGGAUGCCACAGCUGACACUGCUCUAAAGGUAAUAGACACCUUUUUUACAUGCCAUUUAUCCUCUGACAAUUUAAUAAAAAGUGGUAUUAUAAUAUAUAAAACAUUGCAGUUUUAACUUUUUAACAGUGUAAUUUAUGUACAUCUUAAUAUCUAUAAUUCCGGUUGUAGAAGGUGUUUUUUAUUGGUUAUUUCAAUAUUCCUCUUUCUUGCUGUUCCCCCAAAAUGUGAAUCCUAGGGUAAGUAUUAGCUCACCUGUCACAUCGUCACCUCAACGCAACAGUUGUAUAUCUUAUUAUAAAUUUAUAAUAAGAUACAACUUUGUUGCGUUGAGGUGACGACAUAGUGACAAGGUGAGCUUUUGUGAUCACCGUUCGUCCGAGGUCCUUUGGAUAGGGAACUCUGCAAUUGCAGAGCCAUUCUUAGGUGUCCAUUUCUCUUUCAGCUAGAUAGGGAAGUAAAUUGUGUAGAUAGGGAAGAUCUCUCAAGUAUAAGGUUAUGUAAGUAUGCAGGCGGAUAAUGCCUCUCCUGUGGAAAGGCAUUUGAAUCCUGCUAAAAAAUAAUAUAACUGGUCUUUAGAAUCAAAUGGGUGGUGUCAAGAGCAGUAAGUAAUUGCAAGUUGUGAAAGAGGAUUAAGACAUUACUUUGGACAGGCUCACAUUUUGGUGGACAGUGAAAAUUGUUUAAGCUAAAUCUCUUAAGCUACUGGGUGUUUAAUUCUUUUUCUGAAUGAAAAUUGAGUUAUGUCUAUUGCAACCGGAAUUACAGAGAUAAUGUUUUUAUGUUUGUGUCAUAUAGCUUUUUAUUUUCUCUUUUUAGAGGAAUCUGCAAUUGGGAGAGCUGAUUGUUUUUGUUCAGAGGUGGGGCAUCCGAUGAUUUCAGACAAAUCAGAUUAGUUUGUGUUUUAAGUAUGAUAUAAUUAGACAUGUUUAUAAAUUUUACCAUGUUUUUGUGUUACUGUUUUUUAGGUUGCAUGUUAACUGCAACAGACUACUAACACAGGUGUUGGAUGCCACAGCUGACACUGCUCUAAUGGUAAUAGACACUUACUUUUUACACAGAAAGCUUCAAGUUUGGAAAGCUGAUGGUUGGUAUGUGUGUGUUUUCGCUUUUAUGUAUUAAAUGUUUUGAUACCUGUUUUUAAAUAUGAAUACAUCAAUAUUCCAUUUUUGUAUUUUUAUGUUUGUUUUAUGUAUACUUGGAUAGUCUUUAAUUUUAUCUUUUUACACAGAAAGCUUGGUGCUUCUGAGGGAUCUACCUUCCAGAUUAUGUUUACAUUAGCAAGCUGAUGGUUUGUGUGUGUCUUCUUUUUUUUGCAGGUAUGUAUAACCUAAUAUUUUAACCUACCUUUUAUAAUAUGAAAAGAAUGUAAAGAUAGUAUUUUUUUGGUGUUUUUUUUUUUUUUUUUAAUUUUUGUUUUAUGUAUGCUGUCGUAUAACUUUUUUGUCUUUUUUUACAUAGAAAGCUUGAAAUGGGCAUGCGGAUGAUCGGCAUUUGUGUACUUGCUGUCUUACUAGUAUGUAUAUUUUGAUGUCGUUUUUUUUUGUUGUUUUUUUUAUAAAUAUACAUAGAUGUAUAAAUACCAUAUAUAUAUUUUAAUUUCUAAGUGUUUUUUGCUUUAUCUGUGAUAUAGUUGCGUGCAUAGGUUGCAUUGUGUGAACGAGGGCAGGACGCGCGUUUUUUUUUUGGUUUGCUGUGGUUUAGGUCUGUAUAAUUCGGGUUUUAGGGUAAGUGUUUUUGUUUUUGGAUAGGGAACUCUGCACUGACAGAAGAAUUCUUAGAUACCUUUCUCUUUCAGCUAGAUAUCAAACUAAAUGGCUUAGAUAGGCUUCAGACGUGCAAGGUGAUGGUUUGUACUUCUGUUUUACAGGUAUGUAUAUUUUUGAUGUUUUAACAUGUUUUAUAAUAUGAACUGAAUGUGUAAAUACCAUUUUGGUGUUUUUUAUUUUAGUUUUAUGUAUGCUGUUACAAAUUUUUAUUUUGUCUUUUUACACAGAAAGCUUCGACUUGAUGUGUGUGUGUGUUCGGGUAUUUUCAACAAUUUCAGUCAUAUAAACGACGACUACAAACACAGGUGUUGGAUGCCACAGCUGACACUGCUGUCAACUAGAGAAAUGAAAGUAAUGGACAUCAAAACUGUGUGUUUGGUCUGCCAAACUGAAGAAGUGAAGUUCAAGCAUAUGUAACUUUGGACUAUUCUGGCUCAGAAGAAUAUGGGGCUCUAGCCAUCAAACCCAGAAGGAGCAGUGACUGUUAAAAUCAAUACAGAUUUGCAUUUUGCAAAGGAUGAAGUUGAGGGUUACGAGGAUGAUGAUGAUAGUUUAAAUGGGAAAUGGUGAUCAAAAGCACACAGUUCACACGAUGAUACUGGAGAGAAUGGAGUGACAAGCAGAUGUAGAAGAAAAAGUCCAGCUGCAAACUUUCCAAGAAGAUACAGUCCAGCAAUCAAUUGUCCUGGAAGAUACAGUGUGGAUGUGGAUGUGGUAGUAACUAAAGAAAUUAAAUAAAUUUGACCAGUUACUUCUGUUGAGAAAACUACAUCCUGACAGACCCCCAGAUGCCAUGACGAAGUACACCAAGAAAUAACUUGAGCUCUGUCAGUGUAAGUUUUCUAUCUCUGUAAUGCAUGGUGAUGAUGAUGAUGAUUGCGAUGAUGUUGAUGACGGACAAUUAAUAAUGAUGACAGGGCUGUUGGGUGUAUUCAAGCAUAACAAAGGGAAAUGGACACCUUGUGGGAAGGAACGUGGAAGUCGGAUCAUACUGGAAGAUAUAUAAGUGUUUGCCAUAGGAGCCAAUAAAGUCCCUCCCUUAGGAUUUGAUCCAGAACCUAUGUUAAGUUUCUUACAUGACCAGGAAGUCUUUCCGAAAACCAACACGUGUACCAUGGAUAUUAAAGGACUAUGCAACUUUUAAAUCAAACAUGGCGUUUGGUAUUCCUAAUUCACCUGACUUUGGACUGGAGUCUUUCACAAUUUCAGCAGAGAUGUUAUUGAGGAGUUUAUAGGGAAAUUCUCAUUAUCUGGGAAACAUUUUAACAAAUUAUGAACUGAAACAGAAAUUGAAAAUUAAUGUCAAAGCAAAUUUUGGUACAUAGGAGCACUCUAGAAAGUUGAUGUUUGUUGCAUAUAAUUUAUCAUGGACAGCAAACUUGAUAUAUUCUCCAGAUUAUAAAAGUGACAUUAUCUGUGUAAUAAAAUAAGCAAAUAUUUUUGAAGUUUGUCAGCUGAUAAAACUGUGUAAGCAUAGGAAGACACAUCAAAAGAACUUGGUGUCUUUGUGUAGGGCCACUUGCUAAAAUAAUUUCUUUUUACCAAAAGGCAGAUAUGGAAUGUUCCAUUUAAACUAUUCAACUGACAUUUAAAAGCAAUUUCUCCAGUAUAUGCUUCUUAGGAGCAAAAUCAAAUAGACUGAUUAUUCAACAUACUGUUAAUGUUGUGAUUUAAGGUUUGAACUGUCUAUCUUGAUGUACAGACACUAGGUAGUUCUUUAACCUUUAGCUUGCUAAAUUUCUGUAAUUGACUGGUUCAUCAUUCAAUUUGAGCAGUACCAUUUAUCAUUUGAAGGGGUGUUCACUGAAAAUUUACUGACUGCAAGGAUGUGCAGGCUGAUCUUGGUCUGCACUGGUCGCAAAGGCAGAAUCACUUGCUGCCAGCAAGCUAAAGGUUAAGAUGCCUCAGUUGAUAUUCAUAUAUCUCGAGGUGAACAUUUUUCAUAUCAACCUCUUAGAAAUGUAACAUUUAUUUUAUUGUACCGAAAACAUACAGAAGUCAAAACAUUGAUUGGAAAAUCAACAUAUGAGUUAAAACAUUUAUUGAAAUUAUCAUUAAAAGGUAGACUGUUAACACUUAUUUUUAGCUUAAAUUUUCGAAGCAAAAAGAGAGCUAUUGCAGUCUUGCCUCAGCGUUGGUGUCGCAGUUGGUUAAAGUUUAUGAUAAAGUCAAAUAUGUCUGCUACUUUCAAAGCUAUUGACUUGAAACUUAAGUAGUUAUUUACUAUCAAAGUCUACACCAGGAGAAUCAAUCCUCAUAACUCUGAUUUGAAUUUUGACAGAGUUAUGCCCCUUUUUAACUUAGAAUUGUUUGGUUAAAGUUUUUGAUAAAGUUAAAUAUCUCUGUUACUAUCAAAGCUUUUGACUUGAAACUUAAAACACUUAUUUACUAUUAAAGGAGAAACAAUCCUUUAAUUUUGUUCAAUUUUGACAAAGUUAUGCCCCUUUUUAACUUAGAAUUAUUUGAUAAAGUCAAAUGUCUCUGUUACUAUCAAAGCUUGUGACUUUAAACUUAAAAUAGUUAUAUGCUAUCAAAGUCUACAUCAGGAGAAACAAUCCUCAUAACUCUGAUUUGAAUUUUGACAGAGUUAUGCCCCUUUUUAACAUAGAAUGUUUCGGUUAAAUUUCUAUAAAGUUUUUACUGGCAUAGCACUAAUUCAGAGUCAAGCACUGAGAAAGGUCAAACGUGCUUUCUUACUGAUAGCACUUGUAUUAAAGACAGUAGGAGUCUUAAAUACUGGACAGCACUCCAAAAAUUUGCUGAAUUUACUACAAGGUUUUAAUGCUUCCUGAAGGGGUGGGGGCGUAGUCGUCACCUUGUCCGUCUGUCCAAAUUUGUGUCAUUCAUAUCUCUAAAAGUAUUUGACCCAGUCAUCAAACCUCACAUGAUUGUUAUUCAGUGUGAGAUGGGACCAGGGGUUUUAAUUUGGAUCUCACACAGUCAGACUAGAGUUAUGGCCCUUGACUUAAUGUUGCAUAUAUCUACAAAAUUCGCAUAAAGUCAUGAAAUCAUGUAAGAGUACAUGUAUUAUCCAUCAUGUAAUUUUGUGCACCUGAGUUUUUUUUGUGUUUUUUUUUCACUUUGCAAGACCAGAGUUAUGGCCCUUGACUUAGUCAAAAAAUAAAAGUUUUAUUCAGCAUGUAUGUCAAAAUUUAUUUGAUCUAGAGUCAUUAAACAUUAGAGUAUUGUUUUAUAGCCUAUGAAAUUUUGCUCCGGGUGUUCUCUUUGGGAUUUUACUCAGCUAGGCCAGAGUUAUGGUCCUUCACCAAGUGAAAAAUACACAUAAAGUUCCUAAAGGUUUUUGUUGCAAACAGCUUAAAAAAAAUGUAACCUUUAGUCAUAAAACCAUGUACAGUGACAGGAGUGGGGGGGGGGGGGGCACCUGUGUCAUAUAGACACCCUAUUAUAAGACACAAAUCUAGUUUUAUUUUGAUGUGCCAGAGCUUACACUACAUUUAUAACUUUCAACAUUUUCAAGAAAUAGUCGAGAGUCAUAAAAAAAACAUGUAGAUACAAUCUGUAUUUUGGGAACAACUUUGGAUCCUGCACAUACAUUUAGAUACAUUGCAAAGAUAGUCAUACAUAUUUAGAGUUGUGUUUUCUCAACCCUUGUUACUUUAAACAACAAUUUAUACAGUUAAUGAUGCCCCAUUUGAUGCUUAAACAUUUAGUACUUUAGCAGUCACAUAGUAUGACCACAUAUCCAAAGUGCAUUAUAAAUUAGCAUGUGUUUCUUUUAGUCAUCUUUGUUUUGCUAGAAAGCUUUCUUGUUUCAGUUUGUACUUCCUGCUUGGAUUUACUGUUGUAUUUCCUAUUCCAGAUGGUACUUCCUGUUUCAAGUUGUUUUUACACUACUCAUUUCUCUGUAAAACUCUUUAACUUUAAUGAAUAGCUGAAAUUAUUACUUUUAUGGCCGUUUAGUUUUCACUUUAACCCUUACCAUGCUGGACACGAUUGGUUCUGCCUUUUGUGACCUGUGUAGAUCAUUAUCAGCCUGGACAUCCGUGCAGUCUGGUCAUGAUCUGCAGUGUUCACUAUUCAUUCAGUAUCUUGGGUAAGCACCCCUUUUAACAGUUAAUUGUACUGUCAAAAUUGGAAGAUGGACAUGUUCAUUAUAGAAAUUUAGCAGGGUAAGGGUUAAAGCAGAUAGUGUAUUAACAGUAAAUUUAAAUUUUACUCUGAAAUCAAGACAGUUUGAAAGUACAGUUUUAAAAAAACUUCUGAUAUAACGAAGACCGCUCCAAACAGAAAAAUUUAACUUAGUGAGGCAUUUUAGUAAUCAUCAGCAGGGCACAAAACAUUUAACUCUACCCAAUCAUACUUUUUGAUGCUUGCAACAUCCAAUUUUUCACUGUUGUAAUUCUUUUGACUGCAAUUAAAGUUAAAUAAAGUAAAUGAUCUGAUAAUAUUUCAGUAAAUACAUUGCAAACAAUGAUUUUUGUCUUCACACUGUUAUUUGGCAGUAAAUGUUACUUUAAUUGAAAAGAUUAAAAUAUAUGUCUGGUUUUAAAAUUAUUUCUAUAUAAGAAAACAUUCAAAACCAUUUCAGUUAAUAAGAAUCUCUUGACCUUCAGCCUGCAGGUAGCAAGUGAUUCUGCCUUUGCGAUUAGUGCAGACCAAGAUCAGCCUGCACAGAUGUGUUAGUUAGUAAAUUUUCAGUGAGCACCCCUUUGAAUAAUAAAUGGUACUGCCCAAAUUUAAUGAUGGACCGGUCCAUUUUAGAGAUUUAGCAGGCUAAAGGUUAAAGCUGCUGUCUCUAGAUUUCUGUCAGAUUUAUUGAAAUUUAGAAAAUCUUAUUAAUAGUUAGUAAAUUGCAAUAAAAAAAAAUUAUAAAAAAAUUAGAAACUUUUUGUCCUUUUCGUAUGUAUAAUUUAUAUAUAUAUAAAACACACAUUUAGUCAACAUUAUACUAAAAACUCCAGUCAUGCUAUUGAAUACAUGCAAAAUAAAAGGAAUUUAGCUAUAUUUUAUA